rnacentral:rRNA from 1 species
GACGAACGCUGGCGGCGUGCUUAACACAUGCAAGUCGAACGGAAAGGCCCUGCUUUUGUGGGGUGCUCGAGUGGCGAACGGGUGAGUAACACGUGAGUAACCUGCCCUUGACUUUGGGAUAACUUCAGGAAACUGGGGCUAAUACCGGAUAGGAGCUCCUGCUGCAUGGUGGGGGUUGGAAAGUUUCGGCGGUUGGGGAUGGACUCGCGGCUUAUCAGCUUGUUGGUGGGGUAGUGGCUUACCAAGGCUUUGACGGGUAGCCGGCCUGAGAGGGUGACCGGCCACAUUGGGACUGAGAUACGGCCCAGACUCCUACGGGAGGCAGCAGUGGGGAAUAUUGCACAAUGGGCGGAAGCCUGAUGCAGCGACGCCGCGUGCGGGAUGACGGCCUUCGGGUUGUAAACCGCUUUCGCCUGUGACGAAGCGUGAGUGACGGUAAUGGGUAAAGAAGCACCGGCUAACUACGUGCCAGCAGCCGCGGUGAUACGUAGGGUGCGAGCGUUGUCCGGAUUUAUUGGGCGUAAAGGGCUCGUAGGUGGUUGAUCGCGUCGGAAGUGUAAUCUUGGGGCUUAACCCUGAGCGUGCUUUCGAUACGGGUUGACUUGAGGAAGGUAGGGGAGAAUGGAAUUCCUGGUGGAGCGGUGGAAUGCGCAGAUAUCAGGAGGAACACCAGUGGCGAAGGCGGUUCUCUGGGCCUUUCCUGACGCUGAGGAGCGAAAGCGUGGGGAGCGAACAGGCUUAGAUACCCUGGUAGUCCACGCUGUAAACGGUGGGUACUAGGUGUGGGGUCCAUUCCACGGGUUCCGUGCCGUAGCUAACGCUUUAAGUACCCCGCCUGGGGAGUACGGCCGCAAGGCUAAAACUCAAAGGAAUUGACGGGGCCCCGCACAAGCGGCGGAGCAUGCGGAUUAAUUCGAUGCAACGCGUAGAACCUUACUUGGGUUUGACAUGGAUCGGGAGUGCUCAGAGAUGGGUGUGCCUCUUUUGGGGUCGGUUCACAGGUGGUGCAUGGCUGUCGUCAGCUCGUGUCGUGAGAUGUUGGGUUAAGUCCCGCAACGAGCGCAACCCUUGUUCACUGUUGCCAGCACGUUAUGGUGGGGACUCAGUGGAGACCGCCGGGGUCAACUCGGAGGAAGGUGGGGAUGACGUCAAGUCAUCAUGCCCCUUAUGUCCAGGGCUUCACGCAUGCUACAAUGGCUGGUACAGAGAGUGGCGAGCCUGUGAGGGUGAGCGAAUCUCGGAAAGCCGGUCUCAGUUCGGAUUGGGGUCUGCAACUCGACCUCAUGAAGUCGGAGUCGCUAGUAAUCGCAGAUCAGCAACGCUGCGGUGAAUACGUUCCCGGGGCU